CCCAUGAGGGGUUAAGGCUCCCAGUAGACGACUGGGUUGAUAGGCCAGAUAUGGAAGCCCUGUAAGGGGUGGAGUUGACUGGUACUAAUAGGCCGAGGACUUGUCCAU
rnacentral:rRNA from 1 species